GACGAACGCUGGCGGCGUGCUUAACACAUGCAAGUCGAACGGAAAGGCCCUGCUUUUGUGGGGUGCUCGAGUGGCGAACGGGUGAGUAACACGUGAGUAACCUGCCCUUGACUUUGGGAUAACUUCAGGAAACUGGGGCUAAUACCGGAUAGGAGCUCCUGCUGCAUGGUGGGGGUUGGAAAGUUUCGGCGGUUGGGGAUGGACUCGCGGCUUAUCAGCUUGGUGGUGGGGUAGUGGCUUACCAAGGCUUUGACGGGUAGCCGGCCUGAGAGGGUGACCGGCCACAUGGGGACUGAGAUACGGCCCAGACUCCUACGGGAGGCAGCAGUGGGGAAUAUUGCACAAUGGGCGGAAGCCUGAUGCAGCAACGCCGCGUGCGGGAUGACGGCCUUCGGGUUGUAAACCGCUUUCGCCUGGGACGAAGCGUGAGUGACGGUAAUGGGUAAAGAAGCACCGGCUAACUACG
rnacentral:rRNA from 1 species